UUAUGUCAGCUUAGUCCCUGACUAGGCAGCUUGCUCUGUUUCAGCCCUUCUUUAGUACUUCAUCCCCGUUGAGGGAAGACUGAGCGGGGGAUCUCAUCAGUGGGCACAAAUAGCUGAAGGAAGAUGCAAAGAGGACAGAGCCAGGCUCAUUUCUGUGGUGCCUAGUGACAGGACCAAGGAAAUGGGCACAAACUGAAAAACAGGAGACUCCAUCUGAACACCAGAAAACACUUUUUCACUAUGAGGGUAACUGAGCACUCGCACAGGUUGUCCAGAGAUCUUUUGGAAUCUCCAUCCCUACAGAUAUUAAAAAGCCAUCUGGACAUGGUCCUGAGCAACCAGCUUUAGGUGGCCAUGCUUGAGCACAGGGGUUGGACCAGAUAAUAUCCAGAGUUCAUAUCCUUCUUCAAAUAUCCUGACUUCAACCUUUCUGUGACUCUGUGAAGGGAAAAAGGAAAAGAAACAGUGUGUUCCUGAGAUAUAAUUUCAAAGUGGUUUCAAGAAGCUCCUACCUUGCACAGUGAGAAACUCAACUCCAAAAGAUUUCUUUAAAAGUUUGUAAGUCUCCUCCAGUGCUGGCAGAACCAGUCUCCACAGAUUUGGAUCAUCAGCUGUCCAAAGAAGGGAGAGGGAAAGCAGGAACAGUAGGAAACUGGCUAUUCUGUCCUGGGCAACACCUCUUAAGACAAAAAAUUAACAAAGAACCAAGUUAUCAGGGAAUGACACCAUAUAAUCAGUACCAUCAUUCCCAUAAUAAGUUCCUGAUUUCCAAAGACACUUUGCAAUUGUCAUAUUGCAGUUUUCAGCAACUUUCCUCCUCUGAGAAGAGAUGACCACUACUUUGUGCAUCAUUUAAUGCUCUGUUUUUGAGAAGAAACUCCACCAGACUCAGACCCAGUACAGAGAAUGGCAGUUUUAUCGUUUCCCAGAAUGAACAAAAGACUUAUCUCAGCAAGAAACCAUGAAAAACAAGUGGCAUAUCCUAAGAACGAGAACAGUACCACAGGCAUACAGCAACAGGGUCUUCAGCCUCUGCCCCAUGAAGCCAGGGUGGCAGCUUCCACCAGGUGGCUUUCUGACACCUCUUGUGCUGUCAAUGAGUGCAAAGGUAUAGCAGAAGCAGACCAUGAACUUCAGGAGUUGCUUCAGCAAGACCAGUUGGGAUCUUUUCCCACUCCAUCUGCCAUCACUGUGUGCAUGUCUUGCAGAUGUGCAAGACAGUUUCUGUACGUAUGCAUGGAAAACCUUCUGCUCUGGGGAUAUACUCUAAUUGCUGCACAUGCACAAACAUAACUUACUGCUUGCAACACUUCCAGGAAAGAUGGGUGUUUAGCACCUCAGUGGCUUCACAACCCUUUAGCUCAAGAGAAUUCUGAACAACCUCGAGCAGUAUGGGGGCACAGGUUCAAUUAAUGCAUAGUCCUCUGAGAAUAAUGCCCCUAGCCUAGCCUCAGGUAUCCACAUUCCCACCACAGACAAAGGUGUGGGACAGGAUCUCCAAAAGGAGUUUCAUCAUGCCUUUCUCAGACACCUACCAUAGAAAGGGAAGAAUUACCCCUUGGAGAUGCCUAUCUAGUCCCAUUGACUGCAGGGGAGCCUAGAUAAGCAGCAUAGACUAGACAGCUAAAUUUUUAGAUGGAUAAAGAUAAGCAAGAUGAAUCUCACCUUCAGUUUUGGGCUAUGUUGCAAUUUACCUCUGCAGAAUUUAUUAGCCAAGUUUCUAUGACAUGAAAUCAGCUUCAACAUAAGAUGAGAAGGCAAGGGCAGAAGGUAUCACAUACAUUAAAGAUGGCCUAAGUGUUCCUUAUUUUAGGCUGUGCCUUGUAGUCAACAUAACUAACCUCCAGGGAUUAGACCACUUCAAUCUCUCUGGGCCGUUACCCAUCCAUAGACUAGCCAGAGCUCUGUGAAAUCAAGUAACAAACUGAGGUUGCUGCAUCUACUGUGCCAGAAGCAGUGAACAACACUAGCAAAGAAACAGCCAUAGCCAGGCUUCAUAGGGAAAUAAUAGCAUUUGAUAUAA